rnacentral:rRNA from 1 species
AGUGAACGCUGGCGGUAGGCCUAACACAUGCAAGUCGAACGGCAGCACAGUAAGAGCUUGCUCUUACGGGUGGCGAGUGGCGGACGGGUGAGGAAUACAUCGGAAUCUACUUUUUCGUGGGGGAUAACGUAGGGAAACUUACGCUAAUACCGCAUACGACCUACGGGUGAAAGCAGGGGAUCUUCGGACCUUGCGCGAUUGAAUGAGCCGAUGUCGGAUUAGCUAGUUGGCGGGGUAAAGGACCACCAAGGCGACGAUCCGUAGCUGGUCUGAGAGGAUGAGCAGCCACACUGGAACUGAGACACGGUCCAGACUCCUACGGGAGGCAGCAGUGGGGAAUAUUGGACAAUGGGCGCAAGCCUGAUCCAGCCAUACCGCGUGGGUGAAGAAGGCCUUCGGGUUUUAAAGCCCUUUUGUUGGGAAAGAAAAGCAGCAGGUUAAUACCCCGCUGUUCUGACGGUACCCAAAGAAUAAGCACCGGCUAACUUCGUG